UGGAUGGCAAACACAGCAUAACAUACAAAUUCAUUGAACGUGACAGUACUCAAUUCAGAAUUAUUUUUCCAUUUGAUGUUAACAAAUAAAUAAAAAAUACAAAAUCUAGAAUUGAUGUUCUCAUUCAUUCUAUUGUUGUACAGUGAGGAUUCUGUCAAUGUAGUUUUGCUUUUGGAAUCAAACAACUACUAGUUAUGUGUAUAUGUAUGUGGUGCGCUUCUAACCUAUACCCUCGUUUCGAUGCGGAAAUCAACGUGACCUGGCACGAGAUAAAAAUCAAAAGAAGCAGGCUGAACAGACAAAAGGCAAAAUAACUGAUGGAAUGGCAGUGGAACAAUUUAAAUCCAAGAAAAAGGGAUAUCACAAGAACUGCAAAAAAUGUAUAAUGUCAUCUGAUAAUUUAGGGACGUUGAAUUAUGCCAGAAAAACAGAAGAAAAAGGAUAAAUAGUCUGUUGAUACUGCUGGACGGAGCAAAUAAAAACGCUUACAUGUAGAGAGGGCAGAGAUUAACGUACUGUCUUGCUUGGAGAGAAAACAUAUGAGAUCAAGCGCAAAACUUGGAGCAAAAAUCACAAUCUGGGAGUGGUAUCUAUUCUUCUGGAUAUUAAAUUUUUAAUCACAAAUAAGUAGCUAAUAAGCUGCCAAAUAGCAACAUCUAAACACUCAUCUCACAAGAAUCUUGACAGAGCCGCUCGUCUUCACCAUGCUUGGCAUGCUUUCCAAGGACAGUAAAAGCCGGAGAGCGGUCCCAAAGUCAAAUUUGCAGCAAGCGUAGGCCCAUAGGAACAUGCCUUUACUCUUUCAAUAAGAAUUGGCUUGACCUCGGACAUUGGCUUUUGUCCAAGUACUGUAUACGCAGAAACGCAGAGACAUGGAUUUUUAAAUAAUGUAAUGGAAAAUACAUUAUCAGAUUGGAAAUUAACGUAUGUUCAAUAAAAAUAGUCCUUUUUGGGUGUACACCUGGUUCGAGUUCCGGUCAACGCGUUCACAUCAUUUGGUUUUCACUCUUUCUACUCAUAAAGGUGACAGCUUUGCACAUUAUAUAGAUGUAACAAUAAAUACAUACUCUGCAUAAUAACUGUUGGUUGAAUUCGGAUGUUCUUGUACAAGUUGGACUCAAAGUUUGAUAUGAAUUUGCAUUCGAUUCUGGGCGUUCAUGGUCGGGGAUUUAUGGUUAAUUCAUUCAAUCGUUAAUCUCGGCAAGUUUAUUACAAAACCGGAUUGCCUGACUACUGGAUUGCUCGUCCGUUCCUAAAAUGAACGGCGGUCGCCUGGCCAGUAACUAGCAUAUUGAUGAGGCCCCCAUACUUUCUUGAAUCGUUCUCAGACGCAUCAUGAUGUGCGCCAAUAUCGAUGAUAGAUAGUGAUUAUGUGUUCCGUGUUAAACUUAACGAGCAAAAUCAAUUGAUCAUCGAAUGCACUAAACAAAGACUCAAAACCUUGUUCGACAAAAUUCAAAUUUAAGGACUUUUUAGUAAGCCCCUAAAUCGCAUGCCCUACUACGCGUUAUGUGAGUUGGAAAUGAGAAUGUUGAACUAGUUGAACUACGACAAUGGUUGUAGAUAACUUAUCUAACAUAUGUAUGUAGGUGUAAAUAAAAAAUAAUAUACGUUAACCGAAUACAAUAACAAAAAAGUAAAAUUAACUUGAAAACUUAGUUCUGAGUACAUGUAGUUUACCGGUCAACCUCCACACAACAUAACCCAA